AAUCCAUAGGUUAAUGAGGCGAACCGGGGGAACUGAAACAUCUAAGUACCCCGAGGAAAAGAAAUCAACCGAGAUUCCCCCAGUAGCGGCGAGCGAACGGGGAGGAGCCCAGAGCCUGAAUCAGCAUGUGUGUUAGUGGAAGCGUCUGGAAAGGCGCGCGAUACAGGGUGACAGCCCCGUACACAAAAGCGCAUGUGCUGUGAGCUCGAUGAGUAGGGCGGGACACGUGGUAUCCUGUCUGAAUAUGGGGGGACCAUCCUCCAAGGCUAAAUACUCCUGACUGACCGAUAGUGAACCAGUACCGUGAGGGAAAGGCGAAAAGAACCCCGGCGAGGGGAGUGAAAAAGAACCUGAAACCGUGUACGUACAAGCAGUGGGAGCACCCUUUGGGUGUGACUGCGUACCUUUUGUAUAAUGGGUCAGCGACUUAUAUUCUGUAGCAAGGUUAACCGAAUAGGGGAGCCGGAGGGAAACCGAGUCUUAACCGGGCGUUAAGUUGCAGGGUAUAGACCCGAAACCCGGUGAUCUAGCCAUGGGCAGGUUGAAGGUUGGGUAACACUAACUGGAGGACCGAACCGACUAAUGUUGAAAAAUUAGCGGAUGACCUGUGGCUGGGGGUGAAAGGCCAAUCAAACCGGGAGAUAGCUGGUUCUCCCCGAAAGCUAUUUAGGUAGCGCCUCGUGAAUUCAUCUCCGGGGGUAGAGCACUGUUUCGGCUAGGGGGCCAUCCCGGCUUACCAACCCGAUGCAAACUGCGAAUACCGGAGAAUGUUAUCACGGGAGACACACGGCGGGUGCUAACGUCCGUCGUGAAGAGGGAAACAACCCAGACCGCCAGCUAAGGUCCCAAAGUCAUGGUUAAGUGGGAAACGAUGUGGGAAGGCCCAGACAGCCAGGAUGUUGGCUUAGAAGCAGCCAUCAUUUAAAGAAAGCGUAAUAGCUCACUGGUCGAGUCGGCCUGCGCGGAAGAUGUAACGGGGCUAAACCAUGCACCGAAGCUGCGGCAGCGACACUGUGUGUUGUUGGGUAGGGGAGCGUUCUGUAAGCCUGUGAAGGUGUGUCGUGAGGCAUGCUGGAGGUAUCAGAAGUGCGAAUGCUGACAUAAGUAACGAUAAAGCGGGUGAAAAGCCCGCUCGCCGGAAGACCAAGGGUUCCUGUCCAACGUUAAUCGGGGCAGGGUGAGUCGACCCCUAAGGCGAGGCCGAAAGGCGUAGUCGAUGGGAAACGGGUUAAUAUUCCCGUACUUGGUGUUACUGCGAAGGGGGGACGGAGAAGGCUAUGUUGGCCGGGCGACGGUUGUCCCGGUUUAAGCGUGUAGGUGUGUGUUCCAGGUAAAUCCGGUUCACUUUAACACUGAGGCGUGACGACGAGGCACUACGGUGCUGAAGCAACAAAUGCCCUGCUUCCAGGAAAAGCCUCUAAGCAUCAGGUAACAUCAAAUCGUACCCCAAACCGACACAGGUGGUCAGGUAGAGAAUACCAAGGCGCUUGAGAGAACUCGGGUGAAGGAACUAGGCAAAAUGGUGCCGUAACUUCGGGAGAAGGCACGCUGACACGUAGGUGAAGUGAUUUACUCAUGGAGCUGAA
rnacentral:rRNA from 3 species